rnacentral:rRNA from 1 species
GGGGGGGCAAGCGUUUGUUUCGGAUUUACUGGGCGUAAAGGGCUCGUAGGCGGCCAAUUAAGUCGGUUGUGAAAUCCCUCGGCUCAACCGGGGAACUGCGACCGAUACUGAGUGGCUUGAAGCCGGGAGAGGGAUGCGGAAUUCCAGGUGUAGCGGUGAAAUGCGUAGAUAUCUGGAGGAACACCCGUGGCGAAGGCGGCAUCCUGGACCGGUCUUGACGCUGAGGAGCGAAAGCUAGGGUAGCAAACGGGAUUAGAUACCCCGGUAGUCCUAGCCCUAAACGAUGAAUGCUUGGUGUGGCGGGUAUCGAUCCCCUGCCCGUGCCGUAGCUAACGCGUUAAGCAUUCCGCCUGGGGAGUACGGUCGCAAGGCUG